rnacentral:rRNA from 1 species
CGUAGGGUGCGAGCGUUAAUCGGAAUUACUGGGCGUAAAGCGUGCGCAGGCGGUGAUGUAAGACAGAUGUGAAAUCCCCGGGCUCAACCUGGGACCUGCAUUUGUGACUGCAUCGCUGGAGUGCGGCAGAGGGGGAUGGAAUUCCGCGUGUAGCAGUGAAAUGCGUAGAUAUGCGGAGGAACACCGAUGGCGAAGGCAAUCCCCUGGGCCUGCACUGACGCUCAUGCACGAAAGCGUGGGAGCAAACAGGAUU